UUGAUAGCGUUUCGAGAACUUACAAGGUAGAGGUACUUACAAGAGAGAUAUCAAUUGGACCUUCUAUUAAACUUUACUGAGUCAUGUUAAGCCGUCAUAAUUAUGCAAGAUAAAGUCUACUCACGAUGUGCAUAUCUACGCGUAUCCAUACAAGUGGAAAAAUAUUAAUACGUUUGUUGCAUCUUGUAAGACCACAUCUCAACACGUCAACUUUUACGGAAUCAACGCACGUAUCUCCCCAUUCGAGAAGACAUGUGGACCAAGGUAGCUGAGAUUGAAAGCUACCGAUCAAAUAAUAUAAGGUCAUUGAUAUCAAAGAACAAUAUUUUGUUAUUAGAGUUGGUAUUAAUGACAAUAGAAUGAUACCUGCGGACCAUAUUUUAACGGAUGAUCUGCUGGUGAAUUGGCCUAAUAUCAUUUCCAAAUAAUAAAAGGGCUUCCCAACGACGAAAAGGACGAUUAUGU